CCUACGGGAGGCAGCAGUAAGGAAUAUUGGUCAAUGGACGAAAGUCUGAACCAGCCAUGCCGCGUGAAGGAUUAAGGCCCUCUGGGUUGUAAACUUCUUUUAUCUGGGACGAAAAAAGGGUAUUCUUACUCACUUGACGGUACCAGAGGAAUAAGCACCGGCUAACUCCGUGCCAGCAGCCGCGGUAAUACGGAGGGUGCAAGCGUUAUCCGGAUUUACUGGGUUUAAAGGGUGCGUAGGUGGGUUUGUAAGUCAGUGGUGAAAUCUCCGAGCUUAACUCGGAAACUGCCAUUGAUACUAUAGAUCUUGAAUUAUCUGGAGGUAAGCGGAAUAUGUCAUGUAGCGGUGAAAUGCUUAGAUAUGACAUAGAACACCAAUUGCGAAGGCAGCUUACUACGGAUAUAUUGACACUGAGGCACGAAAGCGUGGGGAUCAAACAGGAUUAGAUACCCUGGUAGUCCACGCCCUAAACGAUGGAUACUCGACAUCAGCGAUACACUGUUGGUGUCUGAGCGAAAGCAUUAAGUAUCCCACCUGGGAAGUACGAUCGCAAGAUUGAAACUCAAAGGAAUUGAACGGCUGAGAGAGCGAGACGACGACGAGGGAGGAGG
rnacentral:rRNA from 1 species